UACGUAGGGGGCGAGCGUUGUCCGGAUUUAUUGGGCGUAAAGAGCGCGUAGGCGGCUACCCACGUCGGAUGUGAAAGCUCAGGGCUCAACUCUGAGACGCCAUUCGAUACGGGGUAGCUAGAGGCAGCUAGGGGAGAAUGGAAUUCCUGGUGUAGCGGUGAAAUGCGCAGAUAUCAGGAGGAACACCGGUGGCGAAGGCGGUUCUCUGGGGCUGUCCUGACGCUGAGGCGCGAAAGCUGGGGGAGCGAACAGG
rnacentral:rRNA from 1 species